GGACUCGGGGGGAAGUAUGCUUGCAAGAGUGAAAUUUAAAGGAAUUGACGGAAAGGCACCACCAGGAGUGGAGCCUGCGGCUCAAUUUGACUCAACACGGGAAAACUUACCAGGCCAGGACAUAGUGAGGAUUGACAGAUUAAAGGUCUUUCUUGAUUCUAUGAAUAGUAGCGCAUGGCCGUUCUUAGUUGGUGGAGUGAUUUGUCUGGUUAAUUCCGAUAACGAACGAGACCCCAGCCAUCUAACUAGCCGUCGCUAGCCCGCUAGCGCUUGGUUUACCAAGUUCGGCUUCUUAGAGGGACCAACUGUGUUCAGCAGUGGGAAGUGUGGGGCAAUAACAGGUCAGUGAUGCUCUUAUAAGGUCUGGGCUGCACGCGUGCUACAAUGGUGCAUCCAGCGAGUUCAACCUUCCCCGAAAGGGAUGGGUAACCUUUAACGUGCGCCAAAGUGGGGAUAGACGAUUGUAAUUAUUCGUCUUGAACUAGGAACUCCUAGUAAACGCAAGUCAUCAUCUUGCAUUGAUUACGUCCCUGCCCUUUGUACACACCGCCCGUCGCUCCUACCGAUCGAAUAAUAUGGUGAACUGAGUGGAGGCAGGCACUUCUUAUGUUGUGCUUGCAGAAGCUUCGUGAACCUUGUUAUUUAGAGGAAGGACAAGUCGUAACAAGG
rnacentral:rRNA from 1 species